rnacentral:ncRNA from 1 species
GUUGAUAAAUGCCACAAUCGUCGCGAGGCGGUGUCGGAAAGCCAUGGGUCUCCUGUAGGAGAACGCCGGGUUGCCUGC